UACGAAGGGGGCUAGCGUUGUUCGGAAUUACUGGGCGUAAAGCGCACGUAGGCGGACAUUUAAGUCAGGGGUGAAAUCCCGGAGCUCAACUCCGGAACUGCCUUUGAUACUGGGUGUCUUGAGUGUGGAAGAGGUGAGUGGAAUUCCGGGUGUAGAGGUGAAAUGCGCAGAUAUCAGGAAGAACACCUAUGGCGAAGGCAGCUCUCUGGGACGGUACUGACGCUGAGACGCGAAAGCGUGGGGAGCGAACAGG
rnacentral:rRNA from 1 species